UCCACCUCUCCCAGACUCCCAAGGUGACAGCCUCCCUGGAAUUCUUGAUGCAGCAGGAGCUCCACAGAUGCUCCCACCUUCCAAAUGUCCUGGCUCCUAGAAUUACAUCUGUUCUACUCCCUCCAUGGCUCCAUGGAACCUGGACAUCUCAAUUUCCUCCCCAAAAGCUGGAGUUCUCCAAGAUGCAGAAGCCAGAGGGCUGAUGUUCCUGUGCAGGAAGAAGCAACGCCCAGGCCCACUGCCCCCACUCUCUCAGCAGAUUCUCAUUUUCAGAAUCCUGGAAACCAGAGCUAGAAAUCUGCCUCCCUCUGUUUACCCUGAGUUCCAAUGUCACCAACCCCCUUAAUUAAUGCUAGGGUGCUGGGUCAUGCAUAGCACGGUCAGCUUGGUCUCCAGUUCUGGCAGCAGCUGCAGCCAAGGUCAAGAACAACGGGGGCUGGGUUAGCUCUUACUCAUCCACCUAAAUGCCACUGCCCACGCUCUCCGCUCUCGCCCCUCCCGCUGAGCAGUGGCUGCCAGGGCGGCAGGAAGUCCUUCUUCCUGGGCCUGGCGCCCUCCAGCGGUGGGCGCAGAGCACUAGGCUCCAAAACUAGGAAGCCGGCUCAGCCUGCAGCAGGGCAGCUUGGGCAGCUUCACACCUAAACCAGCCUCUAAACGGGCGCACCUGGACAAAACCCAGUAAUUUAGAAAAGCCUGUGUUUCUAGACAUCUCGCACUGCCAGCAUUCUCCAUGAGAAAGGAGCUAAUAGGAUCAACUUUUCCUAUACGCUGGAGACUUAAUGAGUCCCUCACCGACCCAAGGCUGACCUGUAAUCUGACAGAUGACCACGAAAAAGAGGCAAUUUCAAGCCUAAAGAAAGGACCCCAUUAUGUUGACAUUUAGGCAUGAGUGUGGGUGGCAUUGGGGCAGGAGUCCUAUGUGCUGCUCAAAUCCCACCGUAGAGUCAACUGGCAGUGUGGCCUCUGUCUGACACAGCUCAGGCUCUCCUGCUCCGAGGGAGUUUAGCAGAAGGUCCCUUACCCCACCCAGUUCUGCAGCCCCUCUGAGAAGUCACAUAGCUGAUGCCCAUGGGGGCUGGCGGUGUGCCUUCUCACACCUCUCACAUUGCCUGUGGUUCCAGGAGCCAGCUGCGUUUAGUCUGAUCUCUGUUUGUGCCAGUUGUACUCUUUUGUAAUCACAUAUUUUUAAUUAAAUACUAUAUAACUUGAUG
rnacentral:lncRNA from 10 species